AAUGAUGUUGACUCCCGGGGCGAUCAUGUCCGGCUUCAGAAUAGAAGGGUCAGUGAAACUUGGCCCUCUCGAUGAAAACUGCGCAACUGCAGGUGCUCUCGAGUUCCCUACAACCGUUCCUCCGAAGAUGAUUCUUGCUUUAGGCCGACGUGUCGAGUUUAUGUAGCUCUUCAGGUGCAACGCUUCGUCGGAACCUAUCUGUGUUGCUGGGAGGACAUGGACAUCCACUGAAUCUUCUUCCAAGUUUAUCUCUGUGUUGGUUAGGAUCAUGGC
rnacentral:lncRNA from 1 species